rnacentral:ribozyme from 1 species
UUUUUUUUUUUUUUUUUUUUUUUUUUUUUUUUUUUUUUUUACGGAGUACUGUAUCAUAUGAGCAUAAUCAGGGAAAG